ACCCGCUAGACUUAAGCAUAUCA
rnacentral:rRNA from 1 species